AUGCACGAGUAAUCACGCGAUUUAAUUGGCAUUCUUCAGUUUCGCUCGAAGCGACGCGAAACCAAUAUUAUCAUGCGGAAACCUUUAAGGCUAGCCGAAGGGGAGCCGCCAUCGUCGUAUACCAACAAUUCCAAUAAUUGCACGUGACAGAGGAACGCGUUACGCGCGAGAUAAUUAAUCGGCCGAUUAAUUAAAACCGGUCAACGAGAUUGCCGAUUCUUUUGAUGAAAGAUUAGUAUCUAUAAACUGCAACAAUAUUUCCAGCAAGGAAACGUAUCCUGAUAUUCCUACUAAAUAGAUAAGCGCAAUAAAAAAUCGCCCACUCUCUACUAGCGAAUGUACAAAACUGUGUAACCUUCAACCGAAGAAAUAAUCUCCUGGAUGAAUCAUGGGGAAGAUAUUUAAGGUGGAAACUGUAGAUAAAAUACUUGGUAUUUUACUUUAUACCAAAUACAACAUCGUAAAAGUAAUUUCUGGCUUCUCCUUAUGAAAUUCUAGGUCCUAUUAUAAAUUAAAACUACAUAUAUCAUAUGCUAUCAUAUUCUCUUAUCACCAACGAUACGAUUAAAAUUUUACGUCCAAAACGAUUUGGCAAAUAAAACGAUCAUAAAUUAAUUAAUCUUCCAUUCACCAUUUUACAGUUUCAACAUUCAAAAUAACUACAAAUUUUGAAAUUAUACGUUCGAAAGUUCGAAAGAAGUAAAGAAAAGGAAGAACAUUUUUUUAAUUGAUAAGCAAUUAAAACGAUUAAAAAUUGAAACGAAAAUCGAGUAUGGAUCACGAAUCGAUAAUAACCGGACGAUAAAAUUCCGAGAAAGAUUACGGACUGGCACUAUAAAUUAUCGUUCCGCGCGCGUCCACUCAUUUAAACGCGUGAGUUGCGCUUUGUCCGCCGGAUCGUAAAGUUUUCCGCUCGAAUUUAACUCCGAUUCUUCUCGCUGGCUCGAUGCCGGACACCUACGUCCGCGGGUUCGAGGGUGGCGAUACACGGUUUUAUGCAAAGAGAAGUAGGCGAGCUUCUGCAUAGCGUGCAAUCAACGCUGCAUCGAGCAACGCUGCUAAACCGUUCCCAGCUUGGAACUCAUCUGCACAACCAUGUUAUUUCAACCGUCCAAUAAAUCAACAAUUUCCUCCAACGCCAAUUUCCUGAAAACGAAAAAUCAAAAGGGUACAGUGAACCGAACGAUCGUGUUUCACAAACGUUUAUUGCAUUCUUCCACUACUGACUCGCGAUCGAUUUCGAGAUCCCAAGAAACUAGAAGUUCUCCUUAUUUACGAUGUAAUAAACGUUAGCUCUCUUGUUUAAAAGGUGUCAUAGAUUCUUUCGAGACGAAUGUAGGUCGUGAGUCACUAAUCGCGAACGGUUGAAAAUGAGGCGAGGAAAAGCGCGAAUCCAGCUGUGAUCGUGUAUUCAAUUUGUCAGCCCAAUCGAUUUUGUAUCCGGAUAAUAAAGGAACUGAAAGUAAUAAUACUAAGGUUGAUGCACUCUUGUACCGCGUUUACACGCAUAAUUGCGACAUGGUAAUGAAUAGAUGCUCGAUUAUCUGGCGCAUAUAGAAGACAAUGGUUAUAAAGAUACUCGUAAUUACUUGUGAUUUAAUGUCAAGCACAUUAAACCGGUCUGUUUCUUGAUCUUUUACUUGUUAAUCUCUUCUACCUGCUUCUGAUCCCUGAUAUCUAGCUGUGCGAUGUUGAAAGGAUACAGGUUUUUUAUC